rnacentral:rRNA from 1 species
UACGGGGGGGGCAAGCGUUGUUCGGAAUUACUGGGCGUAAAGGGCGCGUAGGCGGCCUGCUAAGUCGGAUGUGAAAUCCCUCGGCUCAACCGAGGAACUGCAUCCGAUACUGGCGGGCUUGAAUCCGGGAGAGGGAUGUGGAAUUCCAGGUGUAGCGGUGAAAUGCGUAGAUAUCUGGAGGAACACCGGUGGCGAAGGCGGCAUCCUGGACCGGUAUUGACGCUGAGGCGCGAAGGCUAGGGGAGCAAACGGG